rnacentral:ribozyme from 1 species
UGCCCAGCAACUCCUAUCCCUACCUCCAUGCGGUACCGGCCGGAAACUAUGAGCAACCUUAGGGAAGA